rnacentral:rRNA from 1 species
GCUAGGUGUGGGACUCAUUCCACGAGUUCCGUGCCGCAGCUAACGCAUUAAGCGCCCCGCCUGGGGAGUACGGCCGCAAGGCUAAAACUCAAAGGAAUUGACGGGGGCCCGCACAAGCGGCGGAGCAUGCGGAUUAAUUCGAUGCAACGCGAAGAACCUUACCAAGGCUUGACAUAUACCGGUAACACCCAGAGAUGGGUGCCCCUUUUUGGUCGGUAUACAGGUGGUGCAUGGUUGUCGUCAGCUCGUGUCGUGAGAUGUUGGGUUAAGUCCCGCAACGAGCGCAACCCUCGUUCUAUGUUGCCAGCACGUGAUGGUGGGGACUCAUGGAAGACUGCCGGGGUCAACUCGGAGGAAGGUGGGGAUGACAUCAAAUCAUCAUGCCCCUUAUGUCUUGGGCUUCACGCAUGCUACAAUGGCCGGUACAAUGGGCUGCGAAACCGCAAGGUGGAGCGAAUCCCAAAAAACCGGUCUCAGUUCGGAUUGGGGUCUGCAACUCGACCCCAUGAAGUCGGAGUCGCUAGUAAUCGCAGAUCAGCAACGCUGCGGUGAAUACGUUCCCGGGCCUUGUACACACCGCCCGUCAAGUCACGAAAGUCGGUAACACCCGAAGCCGGUGGCCCAACCCCUUGUGGGGGGGAGCCGUCGAAGGUGGGGCUG